rnacentral:lncRNA from 1 species
CCAUCUUGUUCCUAACUCUUUUGUUCUCCUUUUGAAUGGUUAUUUUGCCAUGACACAGAAUGUUACAACCAACCAGAAAUGAGAUUGAAUUGAAGGGAUAAACCCGUUUCAUUUUCAACCUUUUAUAUUCAUUUAUGUUAGUAUUAGACCGUUACUUCUCAAUGCUUUCGAUUGGGUUCCCGAUUGAAGAAGAAGUAGGCUAGAAUCCAACCUAGGCUACAUCUUAUGUUCCAUGUGGUCCUUUCCUUUCUUUGUUUUAUGCACUCUUCU